rnacentral:piRNA from 1 species
UGUCAACCCGGCUCGGAGGUGUGGCCUGA